ensembl:lncRNA
CGCUCUGGCGCCCUCUGCUGGCAGCAAGGAGAGCUGCGGCAUGCGGAUGGCCUGGGCUGCUUUUUCUCCCUCUCUGGGAAUCCGUUUCUCCGCCUCUAGGAGGCUGUCCAUUCUUCAUUGUCCUUACCCCCACUCUCCUUUGGAAUUCAGAUGCUGUGCUGGGUGCCAGAGCACAAAGAUGAGCGAGGGUGCCUGCAUUUGUGACACAGUCCGAAAGACAGGUAAGUUAUUUCUAUCCCUUCGCCCACCCUUUCAGAAGGAAGAAUGCAAACACAUGGUUUGCUCUUACUGGGUACAAAAUCCUUAAUCAAUACUUAGAUCAUUUUGAAAGAGCAUUUUAUGAAAAAUAGUGAAUGUCUUCUUUAAAUGCAUUCAGAAUAGGAAGACAUUUAUUAAAAUAUAUUCAAGGAAGAGUUAACUUUCCAGACAAUCCAUUUAUAACUGCCGAAGAAGGAGUUCUUGUGGUGGCGCAGUGGAAAUGAAUCCAACUAGAAACCAAGAGGCUGCGGGUUCGAUCCGGUGUUGCUGAGCUGUGGUAUAGUUUGCAGAUGUGGCUCGGAGCUGGCUUUGCUGUGACUCUGGCAUAGGCUGGCAGCUGUAGCUUCGAUUAGACCCAUAGUGCAGCCCUUAAAAAAGCAAAAUACAAAACAAAACAAAAGCCAAAAAAAAAAAAAAAAAAAAAACUGCAGAAGGAGACUUUCAGGCUGCUCGAGUACUUGCGUAUUUAGAUCUCAAGAGUGUGUCUGGAUCACAGAAGGGGUAACCCCACUAAACCUGUGGUGUUCAGGGGUCCAGUACUGCUCCAGCUGCUUCCUGUAAUAUACAUCUUCAUAAAUCACUUUGCAGCCAGAGGAAGAUGAUCAUAAACAUGCCCAAGAGAAACCAUUACAGGGACUAGGAAGGAGUUCCUACUGUGGCUCAGUGGGUCAAGGACCCAACGUUGUCUCUAUGAGGAUGUGGGUUCAAUUCCUAGCCUGGCAUAGUGGGUUAAGGAUCUGGUGUUGCCUUAAGCUGCAGGUAGGUAGCAGAUGCAGUCCAGAUCUGGUGUUGCUGUGGCUGUGGCCUAGGACCCCUAGUGCAGUAAAUGCCAUAUGCCGUGGGUGUGGUUGUAAAAAGAAAAAAUAUUGUAAUUAAAAUACAAAGGGACUGAUGUAUUUGGCUUGAAAAAGACUAAGCCCAACAAUGAGAAUUCUUUUCUUCUUUUUUUUUUGUGUGUAUGUGUGUGUUUUUGCUAUUUCUUGGGCCACUCCCAUGGCAUAUGGAGGUUCCCAGGCUAGGGGUCUAAUUGGAGCUGUAGCUGCCAGCCUACGCCAGAGCCACAGCAACAGCAAUGCGGGAUCCGAGCCAGGUCUGCGACCUACACCACAGCGCACAGCAACGCCAGAUCGUUAACCCACUAAGCAAGGGCAGGGAUCGAACUGGCAACCUCAUGGUUCCUAGUGGGAUUCGUUAACCACUGCACCAUGACGGGACCUCCACCAACAAUGGGAAUUCUUUUCCAGCAUGGAAGUGUUCUACAGUUCACAAAGAAUGACACAUCUUGCUCUAGGAGACAGGGUGAGACAGAUAUUUCAAUGAAUCUCAGAGCCAGCUAAGAGGACUCUGGACUGUCUUUUGGAGAGAGAGGACGACUAAAAAGAACAUUGGGCCUGCUGUGGCACAACAGGAUCAGUAGCAAGUCUCUGGAGUACUAGGACCCAAGUUUCAUCCUCAGCCCAGCACCAUGGGUUAAGGAUCUGAUGUUGCCACAGCUGCAGCAUAAUUGCAGGUGUGGCUCAGAUCUGAUUCCUGGCCCAGGAACUCUAUAUGCCAACAGACAGCCAAUAAAGAAUUAAAAAAAGAGCA